rnacentral:rRNA from 1 species
UACGUAGGGUGCGAGCGUUAAUCGGAAUUACUGGGCGUAAAGCGUGCGCAGGCGGUUUUGUAAGCCAGAUGUGAAAUCCCCGGGCUUAACCUGGGAAUGGCAUUUGGGACUGCAAGGCUUGAGUGCGGCAGAGGAGACUGGAAUUCCUGGUGUAGCAGUGAAAUGCGUAGAUAUCAGGAGGAAUACCGAUGGCGAAGGCGGGUCUCUGGGCAAUUCCUGACGCUGAGGCGCGAAAGCGUGGGGAGCAAACGGG